UACGUAGGGUGCAAGCGUUAAUCGGAAUUACUGGGCGUAAAGCGUGCGCAGGCGCUUCUCAAGUCAGGGGUGAAAGCCCAGAGCUCAACUCUGGAAUUGCCUUUGAGACUGAGUGGCUUGAGUACGAGAGAGGUGAGUGGAAUUCCCAGUGUAGAGGUGAAAUUCGUAGAUAUUGGGAAGAACACCGAUGGCGAAGGCAGGUCUCUGGGCCACUACUGACGCUGAGAAGCGAAAGCAUGGGGAGCGAACAGGA
rnacentral:rRNA from 1 species